UUGGCCCUGAAUCAAGGCCUGCAGUUUGCUUCAACUGCUGGUUUCAAACAGGAGCCUAAAGAAAUACCUUUCUGUGUUCUGUUGACCAUUUCUGAAUUCCGAAAGUGUAAUGGUCAAUUCGUUAGAAAGAAACAUCU